UAUGGUCAAGUGAAGAAGCGCAUACGGUGGAUGCCUUGGCAGUCAGAGGCGAUGAAAGACGUGGUAGCCUGCGAAAAGCUUCGGGGAGUCGGCAAACAGACUUUGAUCCGGAGAUGUCUGAAUGGGGGAACCCAGCCAUCACAAGAUGGUUAUCUUGUACUGAAUACAUAGGUGCAAGAGGCGAACCAGGGGAACUGAAACAUCUAAGUACCCUGAGGAAAAGAAAUCAACCGAGAUUCCCUUAGUAGUGGCGAGCGAACGGGGACUAGCCCUUAAGUGGCUUUGAGAUUAGCGGAACGCUCUGGAAAGUGCGGCCAUAGUGGGUGAUAGCCCUGUACGCGAAAGUCUCUUAGUCAUGAAAUCGAGUAGGACGGAGCACGAGAAACUUUGUCUGAAUAUGGGGGGACCAUCCUCCAAGGCUAAAUACUACUGACUGACCGAUAGUGAACUAGUACCGUGAGGGAAAGGCGAAAAGAACCCCGGAGAGGGGAGUGAAAUAGAUCCUGAAACCGUAUGCGUACAAGCAGUGGGAGCAGACUUUGUUCUGUGACUGCGUACCUUUUGUAUAAUGGGUCAGCGACUUAUUUUCAGUGGCGAGCUUAACCGAAUAGGGGAGGCGUAGCGAAAGCGAGUCUUAAUAGGGCGUCUAGUCGCUGGGAAUAGACCCGAAACCGGGCGAUCUAUCCAUGGGCAGGUUGAAGGUUAGGUAACACUGACUGGAGGACCGAACCGACUACCGUUGAAAAGUUAGCGGAUGACCUGUGGAUCGGAGUGAAAGGCUAAUCAAGCUCGGAGAUAGCUGGUUCUCCUCGAAAGCUAUUUAGGUAGCGCCUCAUGUAUCACUGUAGGGGGUAGAGCACUGUUUCGGCUAGGGGGUCAUCCCGACUUACCAAACCGAUGCAAACUCCGAAUACCUACAAGUGCCGAGCAUGGGAGACACACGGCGGGUGCUAACGUCCGUCGUGAAAAGGGAAACAACCCAGACCGUCAGCUAAGGUCCCAAAGUUAUGGUUAAGUGGGAAACGAUGUGGGAAGGCUUAGACAGCUAGGAGGUUGGCUUAGAAGCAGCCACCCUUUAAAGAAAGCGUAAUAGCUCACUAGUCGAGUCGGCCUGCGCGGAAGAUGUAACGGGGCUCAAACCAUACACCGAAGCUACGGGUAUCACGCAAGUGAUGCGGUAGAGGAGCGUUCUGUAAGCCUGUGAAGGUGAGUUGAGAAGCUUGCUGGAGGUAUCAGAAGUGCGAAUGCUGACAUGAGUAACGACAAUGGGUGUGAAAAACACCCACGCCGAAAGACCAAGGUUUCCUGCGCAACGUUAAUCGACGCAGGGUUAGUCGGUCCCUAAGGCGAGGCUGAAAAGCGUAGUCGAUGGAAAACAGGUUAAUAUUCCUGUACUUCUGGUUAUUGCGAUGGAGGGACGGAGAAGGCUAGGCCAGCUUGGCGUUGGUUGUCCAAGUUUAAGGUGGUAGGCUGAAAUCUUAGGUAAAUCCGGGGUUUCAAGGCCGAGAGCUGAUGACGAGUUGCCUUUAGGCGACGAAGUGGUUGAUGCCAUGCUUCCAAGAAAAGCUUCUAAGCUUCAGAUAACCAGGAACCGUACCCCAAACCGACACAGGUGGUUGGGUAGAGAAUACCAAGGCGCUUGAGAGAACUCGGGUGAAGGAACUAGGCAAAAUGGCACCGUAACUUCGGGAGAAGGUGCGCCGGUGAGGGUGAAGCACUUGCUGCGUAAGCCCACGCCGGUCGAAGAUACCAGGCCGCUGCGACUGUUUAUUAAAAACACAGCACUCUGCAAACACGAAAGUGGACGUAUAGGGUGUGACGCCUGCCCGGUGCCGGAAGGUUAAUUGAUGGGGUUAGCUAACGCGAAGCUCUUGAUCGAAGCCCCGGUAAACGGCGGCCGUAACUAUAACGGUCCUAAGGUAGCGAAAUUCCUUGUCGGGUAAGUUCCGACCUGCACGAAUGGCGUAACGAUGGCGGCGCUGUCUCCACCCGAGACUCAGUGAAAUUGAAAUCGCUGUGAAGAUGCAGUGUAUCCGCGGCUAGACGGAAAGACCCCGUGAACCUUUACUAUAGCUUUGCACUGGACUUUGAAUUUGCUUGUGUAGGAUAGGUGGGAGGCUUUGAAGCGUGGACGCCAGU
rnacentral:rRNA from 1 species